AUCACUUAUUUUGUACAUAAAUUUUAGGGGGGAGGCAUUCACAUUGUCCAUGCUUCUGCAUAAAAAGCAUCAUCAUCCCACCCCACCACCCUUGCCAUAUAUUAUAAACGGUCCCUUAUUUAAACUCGUUUUUACCAAGCACAGUAGACCUUUGGGAUGCUUUACCGAAUGACAUUAAAUGAUACAAUCUCAAAAAACAUUUGCUGAAAAAGUAACACCCAAGUCAGGAUUUUCAUUUGAGUAUGAUCUGAAUUAUGAAAGUCGAUUUUGUCAAAUUAUUCAUUGUAGGCUUCGUCUAGGCUGUACUGAUCUAAAUUAUCAUAAAUUUGAAAGACAUAUCUCAAACGAUCCUUCCUGUUCGUACGGCGUUUAUCGUGAAGAUACACAACACUAUCUGCUUGCCUGUCCAAACUACGCUGUGUUAAGAAAUGAUGCGGUUUAUUACAAAAAUGGGUACAGCUUAAACACAAUUCUAUAUGGGAAUAGUGAAAUAUUUGAUCUUGAUGACCUAGCUCUUCUUGUAGAUUUGGUACCAAAUAUGGUUGAAGAAUUGUUAGCUUUAAGAAAUAUAUCGGUUGUUAUGAUGGAAUUGCUGUUGAAAUAUAAAUUAUCAUCUGACUGUACAUUAACCUUGUGAUUUGUCAUGUGAUUAUCCUGUAUGUUAAUUUUGGUUUAUUUACCUUUGCAAAUUGUACUGGAGCGGCAUUAAUACAAGUUUGUAGCUUGUUUGCCAAUCCAUUCGUUUCACGAAUAAAUAUGUUUAAACUAUA